rnacentral:rRNA from 1 species
AACGAACGCUGGCGGCAUGCCUAACACAUGCAAGUCGAACGAAGGCUUCGGCCUUAGUGGCGCACGGGUGCGUAACGCGUGGGAACCUGCCCCUCGGUUCGGAAUAACAGUUAGAAAUGACUGCUAAUACCGGAUGAUGACUUCGGUCCAAAGAUUUAUCGCCGAGGGAUGGGCCCGCGUAGGAUUAGCUAGUUGGUGGGGUAAAGGCCUACCAAGGCGACGAUCCUUAGCUGGUCUGAGAGGAUGAUCAGCCACACUGGGACUGAGACACGGCCCAGACUCCUACGGGAGGCAGCAGUGGGGAAUAUUGGACAAUGGGCGAAAGCCUGAUCCAGCAAUGCCGCGUGAGUGAUGAAGGCCUUAGGGUUGUAAAGCUCUUUUACCAGGGAUGAUAAUGACAGUACCUGGAGAAUAAGCUCCGGCUAACUCCGUGCCAGCAGCGCGGUAAUGUCGAUAUCG